rnacentral:rRNA from 1 species
GACGAACGCUGGCGGCGUGCUUAACACAUGCAAGUCGAACGGAAAGGCCCUGCUUGCUGGGUACUCGAGUGGCGAACGGGUGAGUAACACGUGGGUGAUCUGCCCUGCACUUCGGGAUAAGCCUGGGAAACUGGGUCUAAUACCGGAUAGGAGCCAUUUUUAGUGUGAUGGUUGGAAAGUUUUUUCGGUGUAGGAUGAGCUCGCGGCCUAUCAGCUUGUUGGUGGGGUAAUGGCCUACCAAGGCGGCGACGGGUAGCCGGCCUGAGAGGGUGGACGGCCACACUGGGACUGAGAUACGGCCCAGACUCCUACGGGAGGCAGCAGUGGGGAAUAUUGCACAAGGGGCGCAAGCCGGAUGCAGCGAGGCCGCGGGGGGGAGGGCGGCCUUCGGGUUGUAAACGCCUUUCGCUAGGGACGAAGCUUUUUGUGACGGUACCUAGAUAAGAAGCACCGGCUAACUACGUG